rnacentral:tRNA from 1 species
GGGCAGUUACCAGAGUGGCCAAAUGGGACUGACUGUAACUCAGUUGAUUUACAUCUUCGGUGGUUCGAAUCCAUCACUGCCCACCA